rnacentral:tRNA from 1 species
UCCCUGGUGGCCUAGUGGUUAAGGAUCCGGCAUUGUAAUUGCUGAGGCUCGGGUUUAGUCCCUGGCCUGGGAA